CCCAGGCGGGGGGUGGGGAGGGCACGGGCCUACUUCCCCCCGUUACGGGCAUAAACUGAUCUAGUUAAUUCUGUGACAGAUUUUGGUCGAGAAUGCGGGCAUAGCUGCCUUUUGUUUUUGGUUUUUGCUUUUUGGCUGUUAGAACGAAUCUCGCUCUCUACUCUUAGAGAGCUUCGUUAGGGAGCAUUAUCAGUAGUUCAGGUUUUUGUGCUGGGAAACUUGACCUUGAAAGACCAGGCAUACUGCCAGUAUUCUGGAAUAUUUUUUUAAACUUUGAGCACUGCUUAGUCUGGGUAGUGCCUUUUUUUUUCCUUCCCCCCCCCCUCUUGUUAGUUUCAAUUCAUUAACCCUUUUUGAGCUGAAACCACGAUGAACCCACUCUUUUUCGUGGGAGCGCUGAGUAAGGGAUUAAAAGCUAUGGUGUUUCUCGCGACCUACUGGCGAAUCAUCAAUGUCAUAAUUACUUCUUGUGGAAUUGUGUACAUAUAUAACCACAUAAGGGCACUGAUGGAGACGCCUGUAUGGUACCUAUCUUGGUACCUAUAUGCAGUGUUUAAUAUGAAUUUUGACACUUGCAUCCCGGAUGGAAUGGCUCAUUUCACAAGCAACUACAUCCCAGAUGGAAUAGCUAAUUUUACAAACCACACGAUGUUCAAACCAGUUUCCAGGUUUUCCUCUCGGUUUAUCAGACGUUUUUCCAAUGCUGAAUUAAUUCUCAUGCUUGUGGGCAUAACAGUCCUGUUCAUAUCACUCUCCCUGAAUGUAUUCCAAUACAGGAAUAGUAAGCAGAAGGAGUCUCCUCCAAAACCAGAGAAUGCUGACUGGCAGGGAAUAUGGAGAGGUUUAGGAAAAAUCGUAGAAGCAUGGGGACCCGCAAUGUCAUGGGAUUUCACUCUUGAGCACCUGUGGGAUCCCGAGAAACUUAGCCAGUAUUUGAGUCAGGGACGGUGCGGCUUGUGUAAAUCUAAGGAGGUACAACUUAUUUGGGGUUUGGCUUGUGCUUACCGUGCCCUAUAUAAUACUGUUUUGGAGAGAGAGAGUUUACGAGCUGAGGUUCAAGCCAAAGGGGAAGUCAAAUCUGAUCAAUUACAGGAGACACCAGUAACAAUAUCAGUUGCCCCUGUGGAGGGCAAGAAAUGGAAACGAGUGUCUUCACAUCUAGAAUGGAAAAAAGAAGCGGAGGAGGAGGUGGAGGAAGAUCCAGGUGAGGGGCCCUCCUUGAAACCACCAACAUCAAGAAAGGCAAAAGAAAAAACUAAGAGACAUGCAGAAGAGAGUGAUGAAGAGGAAGUCUCUAUUACUACUCGUCGGCCUCUGAAGAUGACUGAAAUCCAAGGCUCAGGAAAGGAAUUUACACGGCGCCCAAAUGAAACUCUCGUUUCCUGGUUAGUUUGCUGUUGGGAUGACGGGGCCAGUAGCUUGUCUCUAGAUGGUAACGAAGCUCGCCAACUAGGAGCCAUUGAAAGAGAUCCAGCUAUUGACAGAGGAAUUAGUUGAUGUCUGGAUGGGGCUGCCUCCCUCUGGGAACGAGUAUUAACAGCUGUGAAGGAAUGGUACCCCUUCAAAAGC
ensembl:lncRNA